UACGUAGGGGGCAAGCGUUGUCCGGAUUUAUUGGGCGUAAAGAGCUCGUAGGCGGCUCACUAAGUCGGAUGUGAAAACUCCAGGCUCAACCUGGAGACGCCAUUCGAUACUGGUGUGGCUUGAGUUCGGUAGGGGAGCACGGAAUUCCUGGUGUAGCGGUGAAAUGCGCAGAUAUCAGGAAGAACACCCGUGGCUAAGGCGGCUCUCUAGUACGGUACUGACGCUGAGACGCGAAAGCGUGGGGAGCGAACAGG
rnacentral:rRNA from 1 species